CCACGGGAGGCAGCAGUGAGGAAUAUUGGACAAUGGGCGCAAGCCUGAUCCAGCCAUGCCGCGUGCAGGAAGACGGUCCUAUGGAUUGUAAACUGCUUUUGUACAGGAAGAAACACUCCCUCGUGAGGGAGCUUGACGGUACUGUAAGAAUAAGGAUCGGCUAACUCCGUGCCAGCAGCCGCGGUAAUACGGAGGAUCCAAGCGUUAUCCGGAAUCAUUGGGUUUAAAGGGUCCGUAGGCGGUUUAAUAAGUCAGUGGUGAAAUCUGGUCGCUCAACGAUCAAACGGCCAUUGAUACUGUUAGACUUGAAUUAUUAGGAAGUAACUAGAAUAUGUAGUGUAGCGGUGAAAUGCUUAGAUAUUACAUGGAAUACCAAUUGCGAAGGCAGGUUACUACUAAUGGAUUGACGCUGAUGGACGAAAGCGUGGGGAGCGAACAGGAUUAGAUACCCUGGUAGUCCACGCCGUAAACGAUGGAUACUAGCUGUUCGGAGCAAUCUGAGUGGCUAAGCGAAAGUGAUAAGUAUCCCACCUGGGGAGUACGUUCGCAAGAAUGAAACUCAAAGUGAAUUGACGG
rnacentral:rRNA from 1 species